rnacentral:rRNA from 1 species
GUGUCAGCAGCCGCGGUAAUACGGAGGGUGCGAGCGUUAAUCGGAAUUACUGGGCGUAAAGCGUGCGCAGGCGGUUUCGUAAGUCUGAUGUGAAAUCCCCGGGCUCAACCUGGGAACUGCGUUGGAAACUGCGAGGCUAGAGUGUAGAAGAGGGGGGUAGAAUUCCACGUGUAGCAGUGAAAUGCGUAGAGAUGUGGAGGAAUACCGAUGGCGAAGGCAGCCCCUGGGCUAACACUGACGCUCAUGCGCGAAAGCGUGGGGAGCAAACAGGAUUAGAAACCCUCGUAGUCC